UGUGUUUGCGGUUGCCAACCGCGUCUUCAUCUCGUCGCACGGAAACCCCACGGCCGUGGGCAGAAAUGCCACCGGCCGCGGGCGGAAUGUGCGAUCGAGGCGAAGUACACCCUUGACUACAAGUACCUCUUGUUCCCUCGGCGGGCUCGCGCUCGCCGCUGGGCCCAUCCAAACCCCUUUGCAGUAGCCGUAUACCUCUGAUCGUGGGCACUUGAAUUUUUA
rnacentral:misc_RNA from 1 species